UACGAAGGGUGCAAGCGUUACUCGGAAUUACUGGGCGUAAAGCGUGCGUAGGUGGUUCGUUAAGUCUGAUGUGAAAGCCCUGGGCUCAACCUGGGAAUGGCGUUGGAAACUGGCGACCUAGAGUGCGGUAGAGGGUAGUGGAAUUCCCGGUGUAGCAGUGAAAUGCGUAGAGAUCGGGAGGAACAUCUGUGGCGAAGGCGACUGCCUGGACCAGCACUGACACUGAGGCACGAAAGCGUGGGGAGCAAACAGG
rnacentral:rRNA from 1 species